AGUGGCGGACGGGUGAGGAAUACAUCGGAAUCUACUUUUUCGUGGGGGAUAACGUAGGGAAACUUACGCUAAUACCGCAUACGACCUACGGGUGAAAGCAGGGGAUCUUCGGACCUUGCGCGAUUGAAUGAGCCGAUGUCGGAUUAGCUAGUUGGCGGGGUAAAGGCCCACCAAGGCGACGAUCCGUAGCUGGUCUGAGAGGAUGAUCAGCCACACUGGAACUGAGACACGGUCCAGACUCCUACGGGAGGCAGCAGUGGGGAAUAUUGGACAAUGGGCGCAAGCCUGAUCCAGCCAUACCGCGUGGGUGAAGAAGGCCUUCGGGUUGUAAAGCCCUUUUGUUGGGAAAGAAAUCCAGCUGGCUAAUACCCGGUUGGGAUGACGGUACCCAAAGAAUAAGCACCGGCUAACUUCGUGCCAGCAGCCGCGGUAAUACGAAGGGUGCAAGCGUUACUCGGAAUUACUGGGCGUAAAGCGUGCGUAGGUGGUUGUUUAAGUCUGUUGUGAAAGCCCUGGGCUCAACCUGGGAACUGCAGUGGAAACUGGACGACUAGAGUGUGGUA
rnacentral:rRNA from 1 species